rnacentral:lncRNA from 1 species
UCUACGAAUGCUGCAAUCUUCAUUUUUGCUGGUGUCCUUCCAAAAGUCUUAGGAUUUCUUUUCUCCGCUGAUGUGGUUUUCGUGGAUAUGUUUUUUCGACAUCCUUGCUAUUGCAUUUCUCUUGCAGUUUUAAUUUCCUUGUGCCAAGGUUAACUUCUGCUGAUGCCGAUAUUUGAUUCUUUCGCGCGUGCUUGUCUCUGCUGAUGUUACAUGAGAGGGUCAUAGUCGCUCAACUCCCGUUGUUUGUUUAUCUUACUGUGUAUUGUGGUGGGGAGAUCGUGUGUGGGGAGCGAAAGAUGGCGCGUGUCAGCGGACAUCUCACUCAGCCAACCGCGCGCCACAGCGAGUUUCCCACCGUGCUCGGACAAGACAACCUGUAACGCUGUCCAUCGUGCAUUGUUCCAAGUAUCGAGGACUAAUAUUCACUACUUAACAAACAAAGAAGUGUAAAAAUUAUUUAAGUGGUUAAUUACAUUUCGCGGUGACGAUUUUACUUAACGAUUCCACAUGUUGUUUAUACAAAACAUCAAAUUAAAAGUAUAAAAAAAUAUAGAUAAAAUUGAAAACGUUAAAGAUGAUUAAAGAUAAACGCGACUUGAACGUGAAAUUAAAAAUUCAUAAUGCGUUUUAAUAUUUUUUUACAGCGUGGUAUCGUUCCACUAUAACUUUAUUUAGUCAUAACUGAUAGUGUAACUUUUUAAUUAAUUUUAACACCACUAAAUCGGUGUAUUUUAUUAUAUACUGUACUUUAUAAAAGUAGAGAAAGUGGUGCAAUUAAUUGGGAACAAUUCCAGGUAAACAAUAAUUGAUAAUAAUAACGACAACAACAACAAAAAAUAAAAGAAAACGCGUUACUAAAAGGGAGGCUAUUGCCUUUCAUCGCAGCCAGAGGUCCUAUCCCACACUCUGUAUCGCGAAGUGGCGAUACAGGCACUUACCGAAGUUACCAUAACCGGCGAAUAUCUGCGUCAUACCUGACCAAUAUUACUACUUCCUCUAUUUUCCAAAAUACUAGAGAAAAUAUAUACGAUCGUCUAAAACCAACAAUAGAGAAAGAAAAAUUAAUACCAGAUCACCAAUUUGAAUUCAGAAACAAACACUUCCCGAUAGAGCAAUUGUACAGGCUCGUCAACGAAAUUUUACUAGCAAUAGAAAAGAAACAAUAUUGUACAACCCUCUUCAUGGACAUUGAGAAAGCAUUUGACAAAGUGAACCGUGAAAGCCUCUUACAAACAAUCGAAAAACACUUCCCGGAACAAAUCCACCACUUACUCAAAUCAUACCUAAGCAACAGAACCUUUGUAGUAAAAAUACUUUGUUGUUUUUGGCUCGUUGAUGUUCUAUAAGGAACAUUGGUAGUGGUGUCGAUGUGCUGUUCUUGACCAGUUUAAUUAUGCUAUUUAUUUUGUGUCCUUCUUCCAUUAGGUCUGUCAAUAUAUUUUGUGCCAAGUUUUGUGUGCAGUCCCUUUAUCACUAUCUUAAAUUUCUUUUCAGUCUUUGGUUGGUGAGUGUAAUAAUUUGAAUUUUUUAUUUCAAGUGCUUCAAUCACUGUAUGCAUCUAAAGUAAAUUUUUGCAGUUUGACUUGUAUAUCUUUUAAUUAUUUCUUUAAAAAUUACUUGGGUCUGUGGCGGCACUCGACCUCGGAAAUUUCUAACGGUUUCGCGGCACAAAGCGCUAUGUCGACAAGCCUUAGGUGUCAUCGAUAAUCUCUACGGUUCCUUCGCUGAAUUUUUGGGAGUCCGCACACGCGGCAGUCGUCGCGGGCUUCUAACAAACGCGCGCGAUAUCGAUGGCCAACAAAGAAAAGAAUCGGUGUGGCUUUUGAAUCAAAGAGAUUCAGUCUGCCCCGAGCUGCGAAGUGCGAAGGAUUACGCGAAACGAGCGCUGAUAGACGAGUAGUCGACUUCCUAUAACCUGCAUCAAGCAUUGAUCGUUACCAAGCAUUGUUAAUUGUUAAUUGUUGUUUGUUGUUAGUUGUUAUUGGACGUCAGUUGUUACUAAGUUAAUAAACGCUUUUUUUUGUUGAAA